CUGGCAAACAAAAUUUGCAAAUUUUACUUCUUUUUUAUGUAAUUUUGAUGGCUCGUAUCUCUCACCCCAAAAAUUUAAAUAAUAUGUGCCAUAUACCAUUGGAAAGCUCUCAGAUCAUACUAUUGAAUGGUACUAAUUUUAAGGACUAAAAAUCAUUAUGGAGAGAGAAAACUGACCCAAAACUCGUUGCCCCAACCAUCUUCACCUUAAACUUUCAAAGACUAUAACUUCUCACACACUUAUCCAAUUAACCCCAAAAUCUGCAUGCGUGUUCUACAUCGUUAGGGGUAUCAUAUAUAUUAAAAUCAGCCCUGGAUAUCUAGUCUUUGGGCACGUGCCAUUAGAAGGUCCAAUUUCAUUUUUAAGCAAAUAACCCAUAUAACUUUGUAAUUUUAGGCUAUAAACAAGUUUUAAAUGUUAUAUAAUAUCAAUA
rnacentral:lncRNA from 1 species